rnacentral:misc_RNA from 1 species
AUGAAUUGAAAGGGAGUUGAUGCUGGCCAGGUCUCUUGGCAUGUGCUCGCUUCCGACAAUCUUAUCCAUACACCUGUGCACACUGUGAGGGCACGAAAGUGCCCUUAUUUACUACAUACACCUAAUUUGGAAAUCGCACGUGACUUGCGUCGUAUGGCGCUUAAAUAAAUAC